AGGAUUGUAGUAGUGUUGCAGAAGGUGAGAGGGGAAAUUGAGGGGGGUUGUCACUGACCUGAUUGAGUGAGGGAUUUGGUGAGGAUGAGUGGGCUUUCCAUUGAUUCGAUUGAGUGAGGGAGGGGGAGAGAGAGGGCAGAGAGAAGAUGGCGGAAUUUAAGGAACAAGGCCAUGCUUGCAGAGACUCAACCAUUGCCUUCAGCUCAAUCUCUCUCGCAUAAAAGACGUUCUCUCUCUCCCUCCCUUUUUUUUGGUGAUAUUUUUUUUUUUGGGAUUUUUGAGAAAUUCGGUGCUGAAAAGAAAUGAUCUUGAUCUUAGGUCCGGCCAACAAAUCCCUUCUCUAAAUUCAUCUUAUUUGGUCUCUUGGUAAACUGUUUUUAUCUGGGUUUUACAGUUAUAGUUGCAGCCACCAAGUUCCUACCAUAACACAGACCAAGUUGUAGCCACAACUCCAACAAAAGGCUUUCACGAUUAAGUUAAAAAAAAAAAAGGAGCCAUGAAGCUUUUGCCGUGAGAAAACCUUAGGCAUGAAAGCAAAGAAACUUUAUUGCUUCAGAUUGAAGUUCAUCCAAUCUUUCUUGAGAGAGGAGAGUUGCAAAGCUUGGGAGCAAUCUAUAGUCUAGAAAGCCGGAGGUGGAGCCUAGCUUCAAAGAGUUUGAAGGCCUAGGUUUUGGUGGUGUUGGCAUUUGUAUUCUUCAGAUGGAGAUGAGAAAAAGGAAAACUUCAGAAAGGCAGAGGGUUGAACUCCGCCUUUGGGUUGGAAACAAUUAUCAGAAAGUUAGAGAAAAUGAAGGUUCAGAGAGAAGAAGAGGAUUUUUAGUUUGAAGGGAUGAAGUUGUUUCACUGUUUAAGGUAUUAUAUUCAUUAUUUUGAUUCAACGAAUCUUAUUUUAAUUAUGUUCUUCUUAUUUAUGUUGGAAGAUGUUGAUUUUUAGUCGAUGUGGUUUUGUUCUAUUUUAUGAAAUUUGGUGUUCGAGUUUAGACUUGGAUGAA